rnacentral:rRNA from 1 species
CACAGAGAAGCUUGCUUCUUGGGUGGCGAGUGGCGAACGGGUGAGUAACAUAUCGGAACGUACCGAGCAGUGGGGGAUAACUAAUCGAAAGAUUAGCUAAUACCGCAUAUAUUCUGAGGAAGAAAGCAGGGGACCACUUGGCCUUGCGCUGUUUGAGCGGCCGAUAUCUGAUUAGCUAGUUGGUGGGGUAAAGGCCUACCAAGGCGACGAUCAGUAGCGGGUCUGAGAGGAUGAUCCGCCACACUGGGACUGAGACACGGCCCAGACUCCUACGGGAGGCAGCAGUNGGGAAUUUUGGACAAUGGGCGCAACGCUGAUCCAGCCAUGCCGCGUGUCUNAAGAAGGCCUUCGGGUUGUAAAGGACUUUUGUCAGGGAAGAAAAGGGCGGGGUUAAUACCCCUGUCUGAUGACGGUACCUGAAGAAUAAGCACCGGCUAACUACGUGCCAGCAGCCGCGGUAAUACGUAGGGUGCGAGCGUUAAUCGGAAUUACUGGGCGUAAAGCGGGCGCAGACGGUUACUUAAGCAGGAUGUGAAAUCCCCGGGCUCAACCUGGGAACUGCGUUCUGAACUGGGUGACUAGAGUGUGUCAGAGGGAGGUAGAAUUCCACGUGUAGCAGUGAAAUGCGUAGAGAUGUGGAGGAAUACCGAUGGCGAAGGCAGCCUCCUGGGAUAACACUGACGUUCAUGCCCGAAAGCGUGGGUAGCAAACAGGAUUAGAUACCCUGGUAGUCCACGCCCUAAACGAUGUCGAUUAGCUGUUGGGCAGCAUGACUGCUUAGUAGCGA